AUUGAACGCUAGCGGGAUGCCUUACACAUGCAAGUCGAACGGAGUGGCGCACGGGUGAGUAAUGUAUCGGAACGUGCCCAGUAGCGGGGGAUAACUACGCGCACGCGUCGCUAAUCCCGCAUACUAUUGGCUCGGCCGCUAUCGGAUUAGCUAGUUGGUGGGGUAAAGGCUCACCAAGGCGACGAUCCGUAGCUGGUUUGAGAGGACGACCAGCCACAAUGGGACUGAGACACGGCCCAGACUCCUACGGGAGGCAGCAGUGGGGAAUUGUGGACAAUGGGGGAAACCCUGAUCCAGCCAUCCCGCGUGUGCGAGGAAGGCCUUCGGGUUGUAAAGCACUGUUGGCAGGAAAGCGGUACCUGCAGAAUAAGCACCGGCUAACUACGUGCCAGCAGCCGCGGUAAUAC
rnacentral:rRNA from 1 species